GACGAACGCUGGCGGCGUGCUUAACACAUGCCAGUCGAACGGAAAGGCCCUGCUUGCAGGGUACUCGAGUGGCGAACGGGUGAGUAACACGUGGGUGAUCUGCCCUGCACUUCGGGAUAAGCCUGGGAAACUGGGUCUAAUACCGGAUAGGAGCCAUUUUUAGUGUGAUGGUUGGAAAGUUUUUUCGGUGUAGGAUGAGCUCGCGGCCUAUCAGCUUGUUGGUGGGGUAAUGGCCUACCAAGGCGGCGACGGGUGGCCGGCCUGAGAGGGUGGACGGCCACAUUGGGACUGAGAUACGGCCCAGACUCCUACGGGAGGCAGCAGUGGGGAAUAUUGCACAAUGGGCGCAAGCCUGAUGCAGCGACGCCGCGUGGGGGAUGACGGCCUUCGGGUUGUAAACUCCUUUCGCUAGGGACGAAGCUUUUUGUGACGGUACCUAGAUAAGAAGCACCGGCUAACUACGUG
rnacentral:rRNA from 1 species